UUCGUAGGUGGCGAGCGUUGUCCGGAUUUACUGGGCGUAAAGGGAGCGUAGGCGGACUUUUAAGUGAGAUGUGAAAUACUCGGGCUCAACUUGAGUGCUGCAUUUCAAACUGGAAGUCUAGAGUGCAGGAGAGGAGAAUGGAAUUCCUAGUGUAGCGGUGAAAUGCGUAGAGAUUAGGAAGAACACCAGUGGCGAAGGCGAUUCUCUGGACUGUAACUGACGCUGAGGCUCGAAAGCGUGGGGAGCAAACAGG
rnacentral:rRNA from 1 species